GAUGAACGCUGGCGGCGUGCCUAAUACAUGCAAGUCGAGCGAACAGACGAGGAGCUUGCUCCUCUGACGUUAGCGGCGGACGGGUGAGUAACACGUGGAUAACCUACCUAUAAGACUGGGAUAACUUCGGGAAACCGGAGCUAAUACCGGAUCAUAUAUUGAACCGCAUGGUUCAAUAGUUCAAGACGGUUUUGCUGUCACUUAUAGAUGGAUCCGCGCCGCAUUAGCUAGUUGGUAAGGUAACGGCUUACCAAGGCAACGAUGCGUAGCCGACCUGAGAGGGUGAUCGGCCACACUGGAACUGAGACACGGUCCAGACUCCUACGGGAGGCAGCAGUAGGGAAUCUUCCGCAAUGGGCGAAAGCCUGACGGAGCAACGCCGCGUGAGUGAUGAAGGUCUUCGGAUCGUAAAACUCUGUUAUUAGGGAAGAACAAAUGUGUAAGUAACUAUGGACGUCUUGACGGUACCUAAUCAGAAAGCCACGGCUAACUACGUG
rnacentral:rRNA from 1 species